UACGAAGGGGGCUAGCGUUGCUCAGAAUCACUGGGCGUAAAGGGUGCGUAGGCGGGUCUUUAGGUCAGGGGUGAAAUCCUGGAGCUCAACUCCAGAACUGCCUUUGAUACUGGAGAGCUUGAGUCCGGAAGAGGUGAGUGGAACUCCGAGUGUAGAGGUGAAAUUCGUAGAUAUUCGGAAGAACACCAGUGGCGAAGGCGGCUCACUGGUCCGGUACUGACGCUGAGGUGCGAAAGCGUGGGGAGCAAACAGG
rnacentral:rRNA from 1 species